GGUGGUAUGGCCAAGAGGUAAAGGCAAAGGUCUGCAAAACCUUUAUCCCCGGUUCAAAUCCGGGUACCACCU
rnacentral:tRNA from 1 species